CUACGGGUGGCAGCAGUGGGGAAUAUUGCACAAUGGGCGCAAGCCUGAUGCAGCCAUGCCGCGUGUAUGAAGAAGGCCUUCGGGUUGUAAAGUACUUUCAGCGGGGAGGAAGGGAGUAAAGUUAAUACCUUUGCUCAUUGACGUUACCCGCAGAAGAAGCACCGGCGAACUCCGUGCCAGCAGCCGCGGUAAUACGGAGGGUGCAAGCGUUAAUCGGAAUUACUGGGCGUAAAGCGCACGCAGGCGGUUUGUUAAGUCAGAUGUGAAAUCUCCGGGCUCAACCUGGGAACUGCAUCUGAUACUGGCAAGCGUGAGUCUCGUAGAGGGGGGUAGAAUUCCAGGUGUAGCGGUGAAAUGCGUAGAGAUCUGGAGGAAUACCGGUGGCGAAGGCGGCCCCCUGGACGAAGACUGACGCUCAGGUGCGAAAGCGUGGGGAGCAAACAGGAUUAGAUACCCUUGUAGUC
rnacentral:rRNA from 1 species